UACGAAGGGGGCUAGCGUUGUUCGGAGUUACUGGGCGUAAAGGGCGCGUAGGCGGCGCACCAAGUCAGGCGUGAAAGCCCUGGGCUCAACCCGGGAAUUGCGCUUGAGACUGGUGUGCUUGAGUACGGGAGAGGAUAGUGGAAUUCCCGAGUGUAGAGGUGAAAUUCGUAGAUAUUGGGAAGAACACCGGUGGCGAAGGCGGCUAUCUGGGACCGUAACUGACGCUGAGG
rnacentral:rRNA from 1 species